UAAGUGUAGACGCAGAUGGUGAAACUCAAUCGCAGAGUGCUGACAGAGCUUCUCUUAGGGCCUACAGAACAGAUCUACCGAGACUCACAUCUCUUGGUCAGCAGCGACAGUGAUGUGCAGAAUGGAUUAACGAGUUCUUGUUUCUGGCCCUUGUAUAACUCAAAAACUCGUUUCAACUUAAAUAAAUUAAACCUUUAUGUCCACAGGAUAGUCUAGAGAGUUGAAAUUUACUUUUUGCCAGCUCACUACGCAUGUUCACCAAAUGGUAAAGUUCUCACUUUAAAGCCCAGCAAGACAAGAUGAGCUCUGUCUGCCCAGCAGCCUUUCAGAGGCAUUAAGGGUAAGAGAGAAGGUAAGUAAUUCACUAUGCGUCCCCAUUUCUAUAAUGGGGAAGGACGUCUUGAUACAUUUACAAUACUCCUCUGGGGAUAUUUCAUCAGUUAUACCUAAACUCUAAUGGACAAUAAUUGAUUUGAACUUUCCACUUAGCACAGA